rnacentral:rRNA from 1 species
UACGGAGGGUGCGAGCGUUAUCCGGAUUCACUGGGUUUAAAGGGCGCGUAGGUGGGAAUGUAAGUCAGUGGUGAAAUCUCUGGGCUUAACUCAGAAACUGCCAUUGAUACUAUGUUUCUUGAAUUUUCUGGAGGUCAGCGGAAUAUGUCAUGUAGCGGUGAAAUGCUUAGAUAUGACAUAGAACACCAAUUGCGAAGGCAGCUGGCUACAGGGAUAUUGACACUGAGGCACGAAAGCGUGGGGAUCAAACAGG